ACAUACGACCAUAGGGUGUGGAAAACAGGGCUUCCCGUCCGCUCAGCCGUACUUAAGCCACACGCCGGCAGGUUAGUAGUUGGGUGGGUGACCACCAGCGAAUCCCUGCUGUUGUAUGUU
rfam:Aspergillus terreus NIH2624 scaffold_8 genomic scaffold, whole genome shotgun sequence.